ensembl:lncRNA SPRY4-AS1 SPRY4 antisense RNA 1
GUGGACAUCAACCGGGAAGAGCUGAAAGAUGGCGUUACCAGAUAAGGAAACUGAGUCUCAGGGAGGUCAAGAGACAUGCCAAAGCACAGCUUGGAAGUGGUCCAUUGGAUUCGAAGGGGUCCUCACACGAAGCAGGAAGUCACCCUGUAUCU